rnacentral:rRNA from 1 species
UUUUAUUUGAGAGUUUGAUCCUGGCUCAGGAUGAACGCUGGCGGCGUGCCUAACACAUGCAAGUUGAGCGAUUUACUUCGGUAAAGAGCGGCGGACGGGUGAGUAACGCGUGGGUAACCUACCCUGUACACACGGAUAACAUCCCGAAAGGUAUGCUAAUACGGGAUAAUAUAUUUGAGAGGCAUCUCUUAAAUAUCAAAGGUGAGCCAGUACAGGAUGGACCCGCGUCUGAUUAGCUAGUUGGUAAGGUAACGGCUUACCAAGGCGACGAUCAGUAGCCGACCUGAGAGGGUGAUCGGCCACAUUGG